rnacentral:piRNA from 1 species
UGGGAGAACAGACUCUAAGUGGAAUGUCUU